rfam:Clostridium sp. ASF502 genomic scaffold acMal-supercont1.3, whole genome shotgun sequence.
GGACCUUUAGCUCAGUUGGUCAGAGCAAUCGGCUCAUAACCGAUCGGUCCUGGGUUCGAGUCCCCGAAGGUCCA